rnacentral:rRNA from 1 species
GUGGGGAAUAUUGGACAAUGGAGGCAACUCUGAUCCAGCCAUGCCGCGUGUGUGAAGAAGGCCUUUUGGUUGUAAAGCACUUUAAGCGAGGAGGAGGCUUACCUGGUUAAUACCUGGGAUAAGUGGACGUUACUCGCAGAAUAAGCACCGGCUAACUCUGUGCCAGCAGCCGCGGUAAUACAGAGGGUGCAAGCGUUAAUCGGAUUUACUGGGCGUAAAGCGCGCGUAGGUGGCUAAUUAAGUCAAAUGUGAAAUCCCCGAGCUUAACUUGGGAAUUGCAGUCGAUACUGGUUAGCUAGAGUAUGGGAGAGGAUGGUAGAAUUCCAGGUGUAGCGGUGAAAUGCGUAGAGAUCUGGAGGAAUACCGAUGGCGAAGGCAGCCAUCUGGCCUAAUACUGACACUGAGGUGCGAAAGCAUGGGGAGCAAACAGGAUUAGAAACCCCUGUAGUCC